UACGGAGGGGGCUAGCGUUGUUCGGAAUUACUGGGCGCAAAGCGUACGUAGGCGGCUUUGUAAGUUAGAGGUGAAAGCCCGGGGCUCAACUCCGGAAUUGCCUUUAAGACUGCAUCGCUUGAAUCAUGGAGAGGUGAGUGGAAUUCCGAGUGUAGAGGUGAAAUUCGUAGAUAUUCGGAAGAACACCGGUGGCGAAGGCGGCGACCUGGGUCAAGAUUGACGCUCAUGCACGAAAGCGUGGGGAGCAAACGAGG
rnacentral:rRNA from 1 species